rnacentral:rRNA from 1 species
GAGUUUGAUCCUGGCUCAGGAUGAACGCUAGCGGCAGGCCUAAUACAUGCAAGUCGAGGGGCAGCAGGGUAGCAAUAUCGCUGGCGACCGGCGCACGGGUGCGUAACACGUAUACAAUCUGCCUUUAACAGGGGGAUAGCCCGGAGAAAUCCGGAUUAAUACCCCAUAACACGAGAAACGGCAUCGUUUUUUGUUAAAAGCUCCGGCGGUUAAGAGAUGAGUAUGCGUCUGAUUAGCUAGUUGGUGAGGUAACGGCUCACCAAGGCGACGAUCAGUAGGGGAUCUGAGAGGAUUAACCCCCACACGGAUACUGAGACACGGAUCCGACUCCUACGGGAGGCAGCAGUAAGGAAUAUUGGACAAUGCCCGCAAGGGUGAUCCAGCCUAUGCCGCGUGCAGGAAGACGGCCCUAUGGGUUGUAAACUGCUUUUACACCGGAGAAAACCCCCCUUCGUGAAGGGGCUGAUAGUAUGGUGAGAAUAAGCAUCGGCUAACUUCGUGCCAGCCGCCGCCGUAAC